AGCAACCCUUAACACUCGCCUAAACAUAUUUCCUAAAUUAUUGCUGGCAGAUUGGGGGAGUAGAGUAGAGUAGCUGGUGGCAUCGAGUGCCUUUUGCUUAAUUUGUGGGCCCACCCAGCCACCGGAUUGUCAGCGCCCUUGGCUGCCAGCAAAAAGGGGUGCGUCUUGAGUACCUGCCAGUGCGGAUGGAGCCACCCUCCUGGCGGGAGUCUGUUGUUUUUAUUGGCAUGUUGACUUUUGAAAUUAGUUUUUAAUAUGCGCAAAUACUUUUGCAUAUGCGGCAGAGGUAGAGGCACAGCCAACAGCUCGAGUACUUUCCAAAAUUCACCAUGUGCCCUUAUCAGAUAAAUGUGUGUUUGCUAGCAGCAGUAAAAAGUGUAAAUAUUUGUAAACAACCAAAAUGCAAUCCACAAAUUGUUCACCCCUUCUACGCUAGCAGCAGCAGAGAAGGGUUGGAAAAAUCCCUGCAUAUUGACAUCAAUUAAACUGAAUCAAGUCGACAAUCGCGCAAACAACGUAAUUUACAACAAAUGUGUUUGAAAAUUGUCCGACUCCGAUUCCGGUAACAGGAACUAUUCAUUAGCCAACCCCCAGGGGCGCUCGGCACUCGGCACAAAAAGGUUAUACAACGCAGAAGCCACAGAAUCCCAGCCUCGCAGUCGGGGGCACACACACGGAUCGCUAUCCCAGUUCUUGCAACCCCUGUUCCUAUUCCCUAAAACUUCGUGUGGCCAAAAACAGGAGCUGCACAAGGAACAGGACCCGGAGGCGACAGGCGGCCACAUUCAAGUGCGUUGAUAUGCGCCUUGAGCUGUUUUUAGGGCGGGCCGUGGAGGUCAACAGGAAUAGUUCUAUAAUGAACAAAACACAUUGUAAAUUGUCCUGCCGGCGUGGUAAAUGGGAACAAGUGUGCAAGGACCCAAAAAAUAGGCCACACUC
ensembl:ncRNA lncRNA:CR44033 long non-coding RNA:CR44033